rnacentral:misc_RNA from 1 species
UUGCAAUAUUUUUUGUUUUUAAAUUCAGACGACACGGUUGUAAAAAGAAUUUGUGGAGGCCAUUGACGGGCGCGGGCCAGAGACGUUCAUACGCGCCUCCGGCGGACCAUUUCUGGUCGGGCCCGCCAAAGCAACACGGUAGUUUAGACACAGGGUUGGAGGUCGGGCCUGAAAGACCCUAACUCGGUAAUGAUCCUUCCGCAGGUUCACCUACGGAAA